AUCUUCGGGGCAGGGUGCAAUUCCCGACCGGCGGUGAUCUGCUUGUGCAGUAAGUCCGCGAGCAACGCUUAUAGUUGUUGAGCUGGUGAGAUUCCAGCACCGACAGUACAGUCUGGAUGGAAGAAGAU
rnacentral:ncRNA from 1 species